CUGUCAAGAAGCACUAGGUUGACGGCAGGCAAGGCAUCCAGGAAGCCAGAGCACGAGAGAGCGAUGCUGCUCAAAGGAAAUCUUUUAAGUUGCUAUUGAAGGAAGAAGACAUGGGGUCAGAAAAAUGUUAAGAUUGAUUGAUGUGUGUUGUGAAGAGGAGUUCCUGAUGAUAGCUGAAUAUACCAGAUACUUGCCUACAACCAAGGCAGAAUUAUCAGCGUGUAUGUGAAAUAGUCAGAGCUGGUGACUGGAGAAAGCCUGCAGAUAGCGAGAAGACGCAGGUGCACGAUGCAUUGCAUACUACAAAGUAGACAUGUCUUUACAAACGACAUGGCAGGAAUAUAUAUACUACGGUGGAAGCAAAGCAUCCUAUAUCCAUGAAAAUAAAUAGUAUUCGGAUCCAGAC